GCACAAACUGAAUAACAAUGAGUAAUACCACGCCACGGAUUUAGAAAUUAGUGAUGGCUAGAACUACGACUUUUGAAUCACUUUCACGAAUCAACGAUUCGUGACUUUAGAGCAUAUAUCUCAAAAUUAUGGUACUUCAGCAGUAAUGGGACCUACUCUUGCACACCUCCAGGCCGCAGCUUCUUUGCUGUGAUUAGUUGACGAUUCACUGCUGAGGUUUCACUGCGGAUUGGAAGUGCAGUAAAAUGAAGGGGAUGUGCGUGCCAGCUUAGGGAGUAAGAAAACGGUGCGGGUUGAUACAAUGCCGUUUUUGUAUAACUUUUUAGCUAUAACAGAUAUUUAUGUGACAAUGUGACGGACAGGUUUGAAAAAAAUCAUAAAAAAUUAUAUUAAAAAUAUCUAAUUUAUUAUUAUUAUCACAUAAUUUGCCCAAAUUCUCAAUUAUCUUUGUGGAUACUUUUAUUCAUGUGCUAGAUGCAAAAGGAACAGAAUAUUAUAUAAUUCUUAGAUGUCCAAAUGCGAACAGAGGCUAGAGAGUUGAUGAUUGCUUAUCUCUAUCAUAGUAUAAACAUAACCUAAUAGUAUAAACCUAAACCUAAACAAUUCCCUUAAACUGAAAGCUGAGGCUUUCGCCCCUCGCAGUUUCAUCCAUAGUACGCGUUGCCGCACGCCGAGCUUGAACAUUAAAGACUCGGCGACUAGCCAACGGUAUACAUAUAUUAUUUACACAACCACGGUCGAGGGAGACGCGUGACGGGAGUCAGGAAGCGUAGAACAAACUAGACAAAGUGAAACAAACGCAACAAUUAUAAGAUGCAAGAGCGUUGACUUAUCUUUAAAGCAUUAACUUCAGAUUCUUGUAUUACUACGCGACGAGACUCUUCGACUAUCCUUCGUAUUCGACCCGAAUCAAGAUAGAAAUGGAAGGAGCGAAGAAAGAGCGGAACACUCCGAUUCUUGCUACAUUGUGAUCCUGAUUUAAUUUGCCAUUUCUGAAACACAAUAAAAGUACUUUUCCUAUAAAUAGUUCUUGUUUGAUUUUAUACAAUGUUUUCUAUCACAUACCGCUUUUCCGUUAUCUUUUAAACGCGUUCGGGAGUCACAAAGUAGGCAACUGUACGAGUUCUUUCGUAACUUCGCAUCCUAAAUUCACGGACCUUACACACCGAGGGUGGGAAAACUACAAAACAUCCACUAUUUUAUAGAGAAAUUCAAAUUUAUUAUGAAAAAAUAUAUAUAUAUUAAUUCUGCCACAAUCUUAAUAUUUUGUCUUUCCCUCCAGAUGCAACACGCAAUCCAUCUGGAGACCAGUCCACACCAUAAACUUCAUCUGCAUGACCAGGGAGAUCUUGACAAAGCUUCUUGGUCUUCACACUCCAAACUAAAAUAAAAAGACCCAAUAUAUUAGUUUAAAAUAAAAAUUAGUAUAUUAAUUAUUUAUGAAAAGGAUUCACUAGCCUUUCAAUGUGGAAUCUGCACUACCACUAACGAGUAAACGGGAAUCUGCACUCCAUGCUAUUGCAUACACGGCCUGUACGUGGCCUCUCAAUGAAGCUAUAUAUUUUCCUGUAUUAGAUUCCCAUAAUUUUAUGGACUUAUCGAAAGAAGCUGAUGCUAUUAUCCGGCCAUCUGGUGAAAAUUUUACGUCGUUUAUCAGUUGUUGAUGACCAGUCAUUCUUGCUGAAAAAAUUUGUAGAUAAAUUUACGUUACUUGAUAA